CAGAGGGUGCGAGCGUUGUCCGGAAUCACUGGGCGUAAAGGGCGCGUAGGUGGCGUCGCAAGUCGAUGGUGAAAGCUCGACGCUCAACGUCGAGUCGGCCAUUGAGACUGCGAGGCUGGAGCACUGUAGAGGCAGAUGGAAUUCCGGGUGUAGCGGUGGAAUGCGUAGAGAUCCGGAAGAACACCGGUGGCGAAGGCGGUCUGCUGGCAGUUGCUGACACUGAGGCGCGACAGCGUGGGGAGCAAACAGAAUUAGAUACCCUGGUAGUCCACGCCGUAAACGAUGGGCACUAGAUGCUUGGGGGAGCGACCCCCUGAGUGUCGUCGCUAACGCAGUAAGUGCCCCGCCUGGGGAGUACGGCCGCAAGGCUG
rnacentral:rRNA from 1 species